UGCAGUCGAACGGCAGCACGGGAGUAAUCCUGGUGGCGAGUGGCGAACGGGUGAGUAAUAUAUCGGAACGUGCCCAGUCGUGGGGGAUAACGCAGCGAAAGCUGUGCUAAUACCGCAUACGAUCUCUGGAUGAAAGCGGGGGACCCGCAAGAGCCUCGCGCGAUUGGAGCGGCCGAUAUCAGAUUAGCUAGUUGGUGGGGUAAAGGCCCACCAAGGCGACGAUCUGUAGCUGGUCUGAGAGGACGACCAGCCACACUGGAACUGAGACACGGUCCAGACUCCUACGGGAGGCAGCAGUGGGGAAUUUUGGACAAUGGGCGCAAGCCUGAUCCAGCAAUGCCGCGUGCAGGAUGAAGGCCUUCGGGUUGUAAACUGCUUUUGUACGGAACGAAAAGGUCUGCCUUAAUACGGUGGGCCCAUGACGGUACCGUAAGAAUAAGCACCGGCUAACUACGUGCCAGCAGCCGCGGUAAUACGUAGGGUGCGAGCGUUAAUCGGAAUUACUGGGCGUAAAGCGUGCGCAGGCGGUUAUAUAAGACAGAUGUGAAAUCCCCGGGCUCAACCUGGGACCUGCAUUUGUGACUGUAUAGCUAGAGUACGGUAGAGGGGGGAUGGAAUUCCGCGUGUAGCAGUGAAAUGCGUAGAUAUGCGGAGGAACACCGAUGGCGAAAGGCAUCCCCUGGACCUGUACUGACGCUCAUGCACGAAAGCGUGGGGAGCAA
rnacentral:rRNA from 1 species